rnacentral:rRNA from 1 species
CUCCAAUAGCGUAUAUUAAAGUUGUUGCAGUUAAAAAGCUCGUAGUUGAAUUUCGGAAUCAAUAUGUCGGUCGUGCCUUCGGUACGUACUGGUAUCAUUGGUUUCUCCUUUCUGACGAACCAUGAUGUCAUUAAUUUGGUGUUAUGGGGAGUUAGGACUGUUACUUUGAAAAAAUUAGAGUGUUUAAAGCAGGCUUUAGCUUGAAUACAUUAGCAUGGAAUAAUGAAAUAGGACGUUGGAACCUAUUUUGUUGGUUUCUAGGAUCAACGUAAUGAUUAAUAGGGAUAGUUGGGGGCAUUAGUAUUCAAUUGUCAGAGGUGAAAUUCUUGGAUUUAUUGAAGACUAACUACUGCGAAAGCAUUUGCCAAGGAUGUUUUCAUUAAUCAAGAACGAAAGUUAGGGGAUCGAAGACGAUCAGGUACCGUCGUAGUCUUAACCAUAAACUAUGCCGACUAGGGAUCGGAUGAUGUUAAUUUUUUAAUGACUCAUU